GGGUUGGUUCAUCGUCGGGUCGACGAUGCAAAAUGUGGGGGUGCAUGUGACAGGAGGGUUAAUACCUCCUCGCCACUGGAUGGCACUGUGCUGCCAGCACCACCACUUAUUACAUUGGUGGCGCUGGGGGAGUAUAAAAGCACAGGGGAUAGGAAGCUUAGGAAUUCGCCUCCUCUUUGCCUGGUGGCUGCAGUGGCAGGUUGGCGUGGCUGGGUGCAGGAGGACAUUCCUAAAAGCUGUGGGCAAGCGCGGUUGUGGACAGGAGUGAUCGCGCUGCGGCUGGUACCUGGAUGUGGAGUAUAGCCGCAGGGAUUGCACCAGUGGCUGCCCCUCCUCCUCUACUCCGGAUAGCACGGCGCGUUGCCGGCACGGAUACAGGUGGCGACUCGGCGAAGUGAUCAUCGGCAGCCCUGCUGUUCUGGCGUGCCUGGACUGAUUACGCUGGACGGAUUACACUGGACUUGUGGCGCUGAAGUUUACCUUUUCUUUGUUGUCCUGCUUGAUGGCGUAUUUCUAUUAGAUUUUAG